rnacentral:misc_RNA from 1 species
CAGAGUUCAUGCCCUCCAGGGUAGAUCUCCCACCCUUGCCUAUAUUACAAAAUGUUGCUUUGGCGGGCCGGAUGCUUUGGCCCCCUGGGAAAACUCCCGGUGUGCCCGCCAGAGGACCCCUAAACUCUGAAUAUUAGUGUCGUCUGAGUAUUAUAAUAAUAGUUA